UACGUAGGGGGCUAGCGUUGUCCGGAAUCAUUGGGCGUAAAGAGCGUGUAGGCGGCCCGGUAAGUCCGCUGUAAAAGUCAAAGGCUCAACCUUUGAAUGUCAGUGGAUACUGCCGGGCUAGAGUCCGGAAGAGGCGAGUGGAACUCCUGGUGUAGCGGUGGAAUGCGCAGAUAUCAGGAAGAACACCAACGGCGAAGGCAGCUCGCUAGGACGGUACUGACGCUGAGACGCGAAAGCGUGGGGAGCGAACAAU
rnacentral:rRNA from 1 species